GCAGCAAUGGUUCAGUGGUAGAAUUCUUGCCUUCUACGUGGGAGACUCAGGUUCAAUUCCUGGCCAGUGCA
rnacentral:tRNA from 1 species